rnacentral:rRNA from 1 species
UACAGAGGAUGCAAGCGUUAUCCGGAAUCACUGGGCAUAAAGCAUCUGUAGGUUGCUUGCCAAGUCUACUGUUAAAGAUCAGGGCCUAACCCUGGGAAAGCAGUGGAAACUAGUAGGCUUGAGUGUGGUAGAGGUAGAGGGAAUUCCUGGUGUAGCGGUGAAAUGCGUAGAUAGUAGGAAGAACACCAAUGGCGAAAGCACUCUACUGGGCCAUAACUGACACUGAGAGACGACAGCUAGGGGAGCAAAUGGG